UACGGGGGGGGUAAGCGUUGUUCGGAAUCACUGGGCGUAAAGGGCGCGUAGGCGGGAUGGCAAGUCAGUCGUGAAAUCUCUCGGCUCAACCGAGAAACGUCGGCUGAUACUGCCGUUCUUGAGGGAUGCAGAGGAGACUGGAAUUCCCGGUGUAGCGGUGAAAUGUGUAGAGAUCGGGAGGAACACCGGUGGCGAAGGCGGGUCUCUGGGCAUUUCCUGACGCUGAGGCGCGAAAGCGUGGGGAGCAAACAGG
rnacentral:rRNA from 1 species